rnacentral:rRNA from 1 species
UACGUAGGGGGCAAGCGUUGUCCGGAUUUAUUGGGCGUAAAGAGCGUGUAGGCGGCCAGAUAGGUCCGUUGUGAAAACUCGAGGCUCAACCUCGAGACGCCGAUGGAAACCAUUUGGCUAGAGUCCGGAAGAGGAGAGUGGAAUUCCUGGUGUAGCGGUGAAAUGCGCAGAUAUCAGGAGGAAUACCGGUGGCGAAGGCGGCAUCCUGGACCGACAUUGACGCUGAUGAGCGAAAGCUAGGGGAGCAAACGGG